GAUGAACGCUGGCGGCGUGCCUAAUACAUGCAAGUCGAGCGAACGGACGAUAAGCUUGCUUUUCUGAUGUUAGCGGCGGACGUGUGAGUAACACGUGUAUAACCUACCUAUAAGACUGGGAUAACUUCGGGAAACCGGAGCUAAUACCGGAUAAUAUUUUGAACCGCAUGGUUCAAAAGUGAAAUACGGUCUUGCUGUCACUUAUAGAUGGAUCCGCGCUGCAUUAGCUAGUUGUUAAGGUAACUGCUUACCAAGGCAACGAUGCAUAGCCGACACGAGAGGGUGGUCGGCCACACUGGAACUGAGACACGGUCCAGAGUCCUACGGGAGGCAGCAGUAGGGAAUCGUCCGCAAUGGGCGAAAGCCUGACGGAGCAACGCCGAGUGAGUGAUGAAGGUCUUCGGAUCGUAAAACUCUGUUAUUAGGGAAGAACAUAUGUGUAAGUAACUGUGCACAUCUUGACGGUACCUAAUCAGAAAGCCACGGCUAACUACGUG
rnacentral:rRNA from 1 species